GACGAACCGUGCGAACGUUGUUCGGAAUCACUGGGCUUAAAGGGUGCGUAGGCGGCCAGAUAAGUCAGUGGUGAAAUCCUGUUGCUUAACAACAGAACUGCCAUUGAUACUGUUUGGCUUGAGUAUAGUUGCUGUGGGCGGAAUAUGACAUGUAGUGGUGAAAUACAUAGAGAUGUCAUAGAACACCGAUUGCGAAGGCAGCUCACAAAACUAUAACUGACGCUGAGGCACGAAAGUGCGGGGAUCAAACAGG
rnacentral:rRNA from 1 species